rfam:Arthrobotrys oligospora ATCC 24927 unplaced genomic scaffold scaffold00048, whole genome shotgun sequence.
GGGUCAGUAACUUAAUAGGUAAAGGCUAUCCUUGUCGAGGAUGGAGAUGCCGGAUCGUAUCCGGUCUGACUCG